rnacentral:rRNA from 1 species
GCUAACUCCGUGCCAGCAGCCGCGGUAAUACGGAGGGUGCGAGCGUUAAUCGGAAUUACUGGGCGUAAAGCGCACGCAGGCGGUUUGUUAAGCUAGAUGUGAAAGCCCCGGGCUCAACCUGGGAAUUGCAUUUAGAACUGGCAGACUAGAGUCUUGGAGAGGGGAGUGGAAUUUCUGGUGUAGCGGUGAAAUGCGUAGAUAUCAGAAGGAACAUCAGUGGCGAAGGCGACUCCCUGGCCAAAGACUGACGCUCAUGUGCGAAAGUGUGGGUAGCGAACAGGAUUAGAUACCCUGGUAGUCCAUGCCGUAAACGGUGGGCGCUAGGUGUG